CUCAAUAGAAGGAUGGGAAUGACC
rnacentral:piRNA from 1 species